rnacentral:tRNA from 1 species
GCCUAUAUUGGCCUAUAUCAACGGUUUUGUAAUCCGUAAGGUUUGGGGUUCGAUUCCCCACAUCGGCU